rfam:Sediminibacillus halophilus strain CGMCC 1.6199 genome assembly, contig: Ga0079860_101
AUCAAGCUACGUUGUUCGUAAUGAUAAUAAGUUUUAACCUUUAAACUGUAAUAGGGAGUUUUAAAUUGAAUGUGGAAUGUCAAGCCUCCAUGAUAGAGGAAGACAGGAAGGAUUCUGCGAACACCCACUUUGAGGAGUGGUGGUUUAAAACUUUAUUACGUGAGGUUACGGCAAAUGUGGCUCUAAA